rnacentral:lncRNA from 1 species
UCAGAGACCAACCCUGUAACGUUGCCCUAAAAUGUAGUUUGCCGCUGCCGAAAAUCGCCUACGGUGGCGGCGGGUCUCUGAUGACCACCGAAUUUACAGCAUAGACUUCUCUCCCUCUCCUCUUUCCAAAUAUCUAACUAGUUUUCUUCGAAUCCCAGCCAAACCUCUCGAAUAUUGAAUCAAAGAGAGGCGGUCGGAAACCUACUUCAUCCAUCCAACCCCAAAUUAACACCAGACCAUCUUCACAACCCCCUGUUCCCUAAUCUCACACUACCAGCUCUCAAAUCUACGCCAAACCUUUCAAAUUUUGAAUCAAAUAACAAACCCAAAAAUUUCAAAAAGGGUCCGAAUCAGUGGGAUUUUGAAGCUCUGAGUUUGGAAACAAGUUCAGUUGUGUGUUCUCAAAUUCAUUUGAGAACAUAGGAUUAAAGUUUAUUCCGGCCUCAAAUUCAUGGGUUUGUUGACGGUUUGUUUCAAAGAAGGUACCCGUUGGUUUUGGGAGAGGUACGACUGG